rnacentral:rRNA from 1 species
AAACUCAAAUGAAUUGACGGGGCCGCACAAGCGGAGGAACAUGUGGUUUAAUUCGAUGAUACGCGAGGAACCUUACCUGGCUUAAAUGUAGAGUGCAUUUUUAGAGAUAGAAAUUCCCUUCGGGGCUUUCUGCAAGGUGCUGCAUGGUUGUCGUCAGCUCGUGCCGUGAGGUGUCGGGUUAAGUCCCAUAACGAGCGCAACCCUUACCGUUAGUUACCAUCAGGUUAAGCUGGGGACUCUAGCGGGACUGCCACCGUAAGGUGAGAGGAAGUGGGGAUGACGUCAAAUCAGCACGGCCCUUAUGUCCAGGGCUACACACGUGUUACAAUGGCCAGUACAAAGGGCAGCUACCGGGUGACCGGAUGCUAAUCUCUAAAGCUGGUCUCAGUUCGGAUCGAAGUCUGCAACCCGACUUCGUGAAGCUGGAUUCGCUAGUAAUCGCGCAUCAGCCAUGGCGCGGUCGAAUACGUUCCCGGGCCUU